rnacentral:rRNA from 2 species
UGGGGAAUAUUGGACAAUGGGCGCAAGCCUGAUCCAGCCAUGCCGCGUGAGUGAUGACGGCCUUAGGGUUGUAAAGCUCUUUCGCACGCGACGAUAAUGACGGUAGCGUGAGAAGAAGCCCCGGCUAACUUCGUGCCAGCAGCCGCGGUAAUACGAAGGGGGCUAGCGUUGUUCGGAAUCACUGGGCGUAAAGGGUGCGUAGGCGGGAUCUUAAGUCAGGGGUGAAAUCCCGAGGCUCAACCUCGGAACUGCCUUUGAUACUGGGGUCCUUGAGUCCGGAAGAGGUGAGUGGAACUGCGAGUGUAGAGGUGAAAUUCGUAGAUAUUCGCAAGAACACCGGUGGCGAAGGCGGCUCACUGGUCCGGAACUGACGCUGAGGCACGACAGCGUGGGGAGCAAACAGG